rnacentral:lncRNA from 1 species
CCUUACUUCAUAGCAGGGGCAACGAUGCCGGGAAAGACUGGUUUUGAUUUCAAUGGUGCUUCACAAUCAUUCAAUGUCUUAGCUGAAUACCUGUUUGGUAAGAUAUAUAUGCUUGUUUUGUCGACAACGCGGGCAUAGUUUGAAGAAUUGCAGAAAGAAGAAUGAGAAUGAUAUGGAGGGAAGUUAUGUUAUAAUUGUGGGGAAACCGGGCAUUCAUUUUCUAGAUACCCCUUACCUCUUCAAGAUGGAGGAACUAAAUUUGGCAAGUGAUUCAUCUAUAACGAGACUGGUCACCUGAGCAAGGACUGUCCUAAGAACCCUCAUGGGAUUUAUCCAAAGGAUAGCUCACUCUCAAUUUUGAAGGCGAGGUUUAUAUGUUUUUUGCUGUCACCCCAGAAGCUAGCUUCGGUAAGUGAUCUAUCGAGUUUUCAUUGGAGUGGAGCCAGCUUUUGACCACAAUUGGUGAAACUCAUUUUAAAGAAUACACAAGGAAAACUAUAUUAGUGCAUUGUUUUCUUCGUUGUAGCAAAUGAUCUAUCGACUAUGGUGUCAAAAUCAUCUUCAGUUCUCAUUGAAAAGAGAGUUUUUGACUUACAUUUUUCAAAGGUCAUUUAGGUUGCCUUGAGGCUCUGCUUUCAGCAUACAAGCUAUGAGCUUAGAUCUCUAUAGUACUUGCCUCUCGAUCCUCUCAGUUCUUGAAUCCU